rnacentral:rRNA from 1 species
GCCGACGAUGCGUAGGGGUUCUGAGAGGAAGGCCCCCCACACUGGGACUGAGACACGGCCCAGACUCCUACGGAAGGCAGCAG